rnacentral:rRNA from 1 species
AGAGAGAGACAUGCGCGCAUAUCAAUAAGCGGAGGAAAAGAAACUAACUAGGAUUCCCUAGUAACGGCGAGUGAGGCGGGAAGAUCUCAAAUUUGAAAUCUUAAAGGUUUUCCCUUGACGAAUUGUAGUUUAAAGAAGUGUUUUCUGUUGAGGUUUUGGUAAAAGUUCUUUGGAAUAGGACAUCAUAGAGGGUGAGAAUCCCGUAUUUGACCUUUACUUUCAACUUUGUGAUACACUUUCAAAGAGUCGGAUUGUUUGGGAAUGCAGUCCAAAAUGGGUGGUAAAUUUCAUCUAAAGCUAAAUAUUGGCGAGAGACCGAUAGCGAACAAGUACCGUGAGGGAAAGAUGAAAAGAACUUUGAAAAGAGAGUUAAACAGUACGUGAAAUUGUCAAAAGGGAAGCGUUUGACACCAGUGUUGUUUUUCUGAAAAUCAAUUAAAGAACUGUUUAUGCUAAGCUGUUUAGACUUUAUCAGCUAACUGUUUAGUUUUGAGCUUUUCUUUAAUGCACUUUUCAGUUAACAAGUCAACAUCAAUUUCUUUUGCUGUAAAGAAGCUUGAGGAAGGUGGCUUGAGAUUCGUCUUAAGUGUUUAUAGCCUCUUGCCUAUGCAGUCGGAGAGAUUGAGGUCUGCAGCGUAGAUCCUUCGGGGCUAAAUGCAUUUGUGCUAAGUUAUAGCAUUUUAUAGACAACUUGUUGACUAUGAUUUGUCUUGUAGCUUACUCGCUUAUGCUAUUUUACCUACGCUUAGGAUGUUGAGCGCAUGUCUCUCUCU